rnacentral:rRNA from 1 species
AAACUAACAAGGAUUCCCUUAGUAACGGCGAGUGAACCGGGAAGAGCUCAAAUUUGAAAUCUGGCGUCCUCCGGGCGUCCGAGUUGUAAUCUAUAGAAGCGUUUUCCGCGCCGGACCGUGUAUAAGUCUCCUGGAACGGAGUAUCAAAGAGGGUGACAAUCCCGUGCUUUACACGACGACCGGUGCUAUGUGAUACGUUCUCUACGAGUCGAGUUGUUUGGGAAUGCAGCUCAAAACGGGUGGUAAACUCCAUCUAAAGCUAAAUAUUGGUGGGAGACCGAUAGCGAACAAGUACCGUGAGGGAAAGAUGAAAAGCACUUUGGAAAGAGAGUUAAACAGUAUGUGAAAUUGUUGAAAGGGAAACGAUUGAAGUCAGUCGUGUCCAUUGGGUUCAGCCGGUCCUGCCGGUCUACUCCCUUUGGACGGGUCAACAUCAGUUCUGACCGGCGGAUAAUGGCACGAGGAACGUGGCACCCUCCGGGGUGUGUUAUAGCCUCGCGUCGCAUACGCUGGUCGGGACUGAGGAACGCAGCUCGCCUUCAUGGCCGGGGUACGCCCACGUACGAGCUUAGA